UGGUGAGUAACGCGUGAGGAACCUGCCUUUCGGAGGGGGACAACAGUUGGAAACGACUGCUAAUACCGCAUGACGCAUUUGGAUCGCAUGGUCUGAAUGUCAAAGAUUUAUCGCCGAAAGAUGGCCUCGCGUCUGAUUAGCUUGUUGGUGAGGUAACGGCCCACCAAGGCGACGAUCAGUAGCCGGACUGAGAGGUUGGCCGGCCACAUUGGGACUGAGAUACGGCCCAGACUCCUACGGAAGGCAGCAG
rnacentral:rRNA from 1 species